rnacentral:piRNA from 1 species
UGCAUGACUGCAGGAUCACCUCAGCGUACAC